rnacentral:rRNA from 1 species
UACGUAGGGGGCAAGCGUUGUCCGGAUUUACUGGGUGUAAAGGGUGCUCAGGCGGGUUUGUAAGUCAGAGGUGAAACUCCGAAGCUUAACUUCGGAACUGCCUUUGAUACUGCAAUCCUAGAGUUUGAGAGAGGCGAGUGGAAUAUCUGGUGUAGCAGUGAAAUGCGUAGAUAUCAGAUAGAACACCAAUGGCGAAGGCAGCUCGCUGGCUCAUAACUGACGCUAAAGCACGAAAGUGUGGGUAGCAAACAGG